rnacentral:rRNA from 1 species
UACAGAGGUCUCAAGCGUUGUUCGGAUUCAUUGGGCGUAAAGGGUGCGUAGGCGGCGCGGUAAGUCGGGUGUGAAAUUUCGGAGCUUAACUCCGAAACUGCAUUCGAUACUGCCGUGCUUGAGGACUGGAGAGGAGACUGGAAUUCCUGGUGUAGCGGUGAAAUGCGCAGAUAUCGGAAGGAACACCUGUGGCGAAAGCGGCUCACUGGACCAUUACUGACGCUGAGGCACGAAAGCUAGGGGAGCAAACAGG